GCCCUUAUAGCUCAGUUGGUAGAGCGCACGAUUCGUAAUCGUGAGGCCUCGUGUUCGAUUCGCGAUGAGGGCACCA
rnacentral:tRNA from 1 species